CACGUAGGGGGCGAGCGUUGUCCGGAUUUAUUGGGCGUAAAGAGCUCGUAGGCGGCUCAGUAAGUCGGGUGUGAAAACUCCAGGCUCAACCUGGAGACGCCACCUGAUACUGCUGUGGCUAGAGUCCGGUAGGGGAGCAUGGAAUUCCUGGUGUAGCGGUGAAAUGCGCAGAUAGUCAGGAGGAACACCAGUGGCGAAGGCGGCCAUCUGGACGGAUACUGACGCUGGAGACGCGAAAGCGUGGGUAGCAAACAGG
rnacentral:rRNA from 1 species